rnacentral:rRNA from 1 species
CCUACGGGUGGCAGCAGUGAGGAAUAUUGGUCAAUGGUCGGGAGACUGAACCAGCCAAGCCGCGUGAGGGAUGAAGGUACAGAGUAUCGUAAACCUCUUUUGUCAGGGCACAAAGGCGGGGACGUGUCCCCGGAUGAGUGUACCUGAAGAAAAAGCAUCGGCUAACUCCGUGCCAGCAGCCGCGGUAAUACGGAGGAUGCGAGCGUUAUCCGGAUUUAUUGGGUGUAAAGGGUGCGCAGGCGGUCUGUUAAGUCAGCGGUAAAAGCCCGGGGCUCAACCCCGGCCCGCCGUUGAAACUGGCAGUCUCGAGUGGGAGAGAAGUAUGCGGAAUGCGCGGUGUAGCGGUGAAAUGCAUAGAUAUCGCGCAGAACUCCGAUUGCGAAGGCAGCAUGCCGGCUCCACACUGACGCUGAGGCACGAAAGCGUGGGUAUCGAACAGGAUUAGAUACCCUUGUAGUC